GUAGGUGGCAAGCGUUGUCCGGAAUUAUUGGGCGUAAAGCGCGCGCAGGCGGUUCUUUAAGUCUGAUGUGAAAGCCCACGGCUCAACCGUGGAGGGUCAUUGGAAACUGGAGAACUUGAGUACAGAAGAGGAAAGCGGAAUUCCACGUGUAGCGGUGAAAUGCGUAGAGAUGUGGAGGAACACCAGUGGCGAAGGCGGCUUUCUGGUUUGCAACUGACGCUGAGGCGCGAAAGCGUGGGGAGCAAACAGGAUUAGAUACCCUGGUAGUCCACGCCGUAAACGAUGAGUGCUAAGUGCUAGGGGGUUUUCCGCCCCUUAGUGCUGCAGCUAACGCAUUAAGCACUCCGCCUGGGAGUACGGCCGCAAGGCUG
rnacentral:rRNA from 1 species